UACGGGGGGGGCAAGCGUUGUUCGGAAUUACUGGGCGUAAAGGGCGCGUAGGCGGCCGGGUUGGUCGUGGGUGAAAUCCCCCAGCUUAACUGGGGAACUGCCUACGAUACUGCCUGGCUCGAGGGAGGAAGGGGCGGUCGGAACUGUCGGUGGAGCGGUGAAAUGCGUUGAUAUCGACAGGAACGCCGGUGGCGAAAGCGGACCGCUGGCCCUCUUCUGACGCUGAGGCGCGAAAGCCAGGGGAGCGAACGGG
rnacentral:rRNA from 1 species